rnacentral:rRNA from 1 species
AGAGCGAACGCUGGCGGCAGGCCUAACACAUGCAAGUCGAGCGCCCGUAGCAAUACGGGAGCGGCAGACGGGAUAGUAACACGUGGGAACGCGCCCUUCGGUUCGGAAUAACUCAGGGAAACUUGAGCUAAUACCGGAUACGCCCUUACGGGGAAAGAUUUAUUGCCGAAGGAACGGCCCGCGUCCGAUUAGCUAGUUGGUGAGGUAAUGGCUCACCAAGGCGACGAUCGGUAGCUGGUCUGAGAGGAUGACCAGCAUCACUGGGACUGAGACACGGCCCAGACUCCUACGGGAGGCAGCAGUGGGGAAUAUUGGACAAUGGGCGCAAGCCUGAUCCAGCCAUGCCGCGUGGAUGAUGAAGGCCUUAGGGUUGUAAAGUCCUUUUAACGGGAAGAUAAUGACGGUACCGUAGAAUAAGCCCGGCUAACUUCGUGCCAGCAGCCGC